rnacentral:lncRNA from 1 species
GAGAGCAAGAACAGCCCGCAGGUCCCGAGGCGCUUGCAGGGGACUCUGCCGCGGAAAGUUCCCAGUCCCCAGCCGCAGGUGUUUUCCCUCCUGCUGAUCGUGGAAAGAAAUCACCAAGAAGAGGGGAAAGUUGCCCCGGGGCCGGUAGUCAUGUAGGGGUUACCAAAGCAAGGGACUCUGGCAGAGAUGCGCGCGGACAAUUUAAAUGCCGGCAUAAAAUGAAGCUUUUUAUUUUUGGUUGAUUCCUGCUGUCUACUCCUCUUGGAUGCCUUUGUGAAACUGCUUCUAUCUGAGAAGGAGGAGUUGCCAUUUAGCAAGUAGUAGGUGGUACCGUGUGUGGCAGAGUCCGAUGUGUUACACCACGAGGACAUUCAUCUUUGCAAUUGGUGAAGUCCUUCUACCUAGUUCCCCUUCCUUGUGCACAGAAGAGGACUGGAAAACUCCUCACAGGACUGCAUACUGCUAUCUCUGAGAAACCAGAAAGAAGAAAGUACCUCUUCCUUCCAAGCUUCUACCUAAGAGUAUACUGGAAGGUUUACCUAGAGCAACAAGACAACGAAAUGGAUUGUCCUUCUCACGCUAGUCCACACACAAUCCUCAUCAUUUUGAUAAGAUAGCAUGAAGUCUCUUAUCGCUUGUGGAUCCAGCACUUUGGUUCAGAAAUGAGACAGUCAUCAUCUUCAAGCUGAAGAAUUGGACAGUCUUCCAGGUUCAUCUGCCCAUAAUUCUCUAAGAUUUGGAGCUGUUGAGGAGUGGCUCAUAGUAGACACUGAACCAUCAGCCAACAGCAUUUGUUGUCCUGGAUGUCUGUGCCAACCUUUCGAGUCACACUGGGGUCUAAAGACACACCUGGAAUAAAAAUCAGAAUGCUUAAGAAACUUAAUAUGAUCUGCGGGAGAAUACAUGAGGUUUUUGUUUCAUACCACAGUCUGAUGACAGCAUGGAUUUCAACUGAUGAUGUUCACCUUUGCCUCUUGGGUCAAUAUGUGAGCUCAGAGAUUUCCCUGCUUUUGUUCUGUCAUUAUGGAUUCUAAACUUCUGAAACUACAUACUCAAUUAAAUGUUUUCUUUUAUAAA